rnacentral:rRNA from 1 species
UACAGAGGUCUCAAGCGUUGUUCGGAUUCAUUGGGCGUAAAGGGUGCGUAGGCGGCGCGGUAAGUCGGGUGUGAAAUCUCGGAGCUUAACUCCGAAACUGCAUUCGAUACUGCCGUGCUUGAGGACUGGAGAGGAGACUGGAAUUUACGGUGUAGCGGUGAAAUGCGUAGAUAUCGUAAGGAAGACCAGUGGCGAAAGGCGGGUCUCUGGACAGUUCCUGACGCUGAGACGCGAAAGCCAGGGGAGCGAACGGG